rnacentral:lncRNA from 1 species
GGCAAUUCAAGAUCCAAUGUUAGGAGAAAGAGAAGUGAAAUCUGUCAUUUCCCUUUUGAUAAAGAGAGCUGGAGAUCAGCACCCGACCAUCCGUCAGAUGGGAGUCAAAGGCCUUGGGAAUGCUUUUCUCUCGGCACCUGAGAAGGUGAAAGAACACAAGAAGGCCAUCGUAGCUGUUUUUCUGGGCGCUUUAUAUGACUCCAGGGUGGUUCUGGAGAGUCUCAGGGCACUUGCCUUGGUCCUUCCACACCUAAAGGGGAGAGAUGUUGGCUUCCUAUUUAAAGACCUCUCCGUAAAGGUCGCAACAUACCUGAGCGAUGAUGAUGCUAACAUCCGAGAGGCUGCACUCCAUGUCUUUGGCAUCUUGGC